rnacentral:rRNA from 1 species
CUAGCAGUAUCAGAGUUUGAUCCUGGCUCAGAACGAACGCUGGCGGCAGGCUUAACACAUGCAAGUCGAACGCCCCGCAAGGGGAGUGGCAGACGGGUGAGUAACGCGUGGGAACAUACCCUUUCCUGCGGAAUAGCUCCGGGAAACUGGAAUUAAUACCGCAUACGCCCUACGGGGGAAAGAUUUAUCGGGGAAGGAUUGGCCCGCGUUGGAUUAGCUAGUUGGUGGGGUAAAGGCCUACCAAGGCGACGAUCCAUAGCUGGUCUGAGAGGAUGAUCAGCCACAUUGGGACUGAGACACGGCCCAA